rnacentral:rRNA from 1 species
AGUGAACGCUGGCGGUAGGCCUAACACAUGCAAGUCGAACGGCAGCACAGUAAGAGCUUGCUCUUACGGGUGGCGAGUGGCGGACGGGUGAGGAAUACAUCGGAAUCUACUUUUUCGUGGGGGAUAACGUAGGGAAACUUACGCUAAUACCGCAUACGACCUACGGGUGAAAGCAGGGGAUCUUCGGACCUUGCGCGAUUGAAUGAGCCGAUGUCGGAUUAGCUAGUUGGCGGGGUAAAGGCCCACCAAGGCGACGAUCCGUAGCUGGUCUGAGAGGAUGAUCAGCCACACUGGAACUGAGACACGGUCCAGACUCCUACGGGAGGAAGCAGUGGGGAAUAUUGGACAAUGGGCGCAAGCCUGAUCCAGCCAUACCGCGUGGGUGAAGAAGGCCUUCGGGUUGUAAAGCCCUUUUGUUGGGAAAGAAAAGCAGCAGGUUAAUACCCAGCUGUUCUGACGGUACCCAAAGAAUAAGCACCGGCUAACUUCGUG